GCGGAUGUUUAUUUCACUUUAAACGCAGACUCGACUGAGAUUCGUUUCCUCCACAGUCCCAGGUGGAAUCAGUAAGACCUGGGUAUGAAGGCAGUAAAUGGAAAGACAAGGGAGAAAGCUGACUGUGGAUUCAGAAGGAGAAUUUGGAAGGAUAAUCAAACAGCUACAGAUGUGGAGAAGCAUCAUGUUUAUAUUCUGUGAAAACAAGUUUGUAAUGACUGAAUUUCAAGAUGAUUAACAAAGCACCCACAACCACUUGAAAAAAAAAUCUGGUUCCAACGGGAAGUGAAGAAUCGUCACACCACCGUAAAGGAGCAAUCUCAUUCUCUGAAGCUGCAGAGAAAAUCAUACUUCAACAUAGAAAAAACAUCAAGUGAAAGAAAGAACCAUAGUUUGAGAAGUGCCAAGCAUUAUCCUCAGAAAACCUCGAUGGGCAUUGUGACCACAGCCAAUCUGCACCUGGCAGGGAUCUAUAAAUAACCUUGGGAUGGAUGAUCAAAUUGUCAUUUUUUUUUGUCUUUAAUGCUUGGCAGGAAUACCUGAGAACUGCUUGCUCUUUUCUGAACCAGGGCCUUGGGAUCUUUUACAUCCACCAGAAUAAGAAAUAAAGUUUUACCUAAAUAGUGAUACUUCAGUGUUGUACUUCAAUGUUCAUUACAGGUUGAAAGGUAAAUGCUGGGCUGCUGCUUGAACAAUCAAGACUGAAUCCCUUUAUAUUCCAAUAUUUCAUUAUUGGAAUAUCCAAUAAUGUAGGAACGUCAAGGAUCUUCUCCACUGUGCCAGGUAAGUGCCAACACCUUCUGCCUGCUGUCUCACAUUGGUGGUAUUUUACCAAGAUCAGAGUCAGGAGUAUCUGUUAGUGAGCACUUCACUGCUGCACCCUGACAGCUGGCCUAGUAGGAACCAUCCCACUUCAUAGACCAGGCUUAGCCCGAGGCAGGAGAUGAGCCCAUGGUGUCAGCAAAUGGGACCUCACUAACACUCAGAAACAGACACAGGAGCAUCGGACAGUUUCAUCAGGGGCACUGGCUAACCUAAUAAAGAUUGCAGGACUGCAACAAUGUGGUUGGAACCUUCCUUCCUCAAGCAUUCAUAAGUAAACUCUCACCAUGGGCAGGCUGAUGGCUGGUAUGCAGGUCAAGCAGCCUCAGUCUGCUGGAUACAUGCACAGAACUGUUUUUCAUCGCUCUAGCUCACCAUCACUGGCAAGGUCACAGGAUGACAAGGAAUCUUGCCCCACUCUAUGCCCCCUUUCCUCAUAUGGUGAAAAGAUGGUGCCAGUAGGGUAGGAACCAUACAUGUCCCGCAGAAGAUUUCUCUUGGGAUCGUCUAGAGAUGGCC